UAUUCUUUUGAUUUUUAAAAAAAUCAUUUAAAUAUGUAAAAACUUCUAUUUUUUAGUCCUGGAGAGGUGCAGAAACAACUUAUAAGCCAUAUUGCUGAGCCCUACAUUAGAGGUACUUGAGGGGAGUGACACAAUUGGUAAUGAAUAACCAUAUACUCUAUCCUUCAAUAUGGAACACUUUUGGAAGUAAAGUAGGGCAUUAAUAAUUAUAGCCAGAGAACAGGAGUUAAAUCAGUUUAUCCCAGACAAACCUAAAGGAAUAAUCACCUUAAGGUUAAGAGUUAGGAGAAGUCAAAAUUGCUUUAGGACUUAGUAAUAGAAAAUGGGAGGUGCCAGUGAAGGAAAUAGGAAGAUAAAGAAGAAACUGGUUUUGAGGAGAAGAUAGCUAUAGCAGUCCUAAGAGCCAUAUACAGUUGGAACAACAUUGAUAGGAAAGAAGAAAGCAUCCCAGAAGCAGGCCACUCCUUAUAUCUUAUUGACCAGAACUGGGCUAUUAGCUGUCCCUAAAGCAGUAACAGACAAGGAGCAUGGGACAUCCAUGAUUGCCUAGUGUUUAUCUGACUUUUCUAGUUCUUAUUCAGGACUGUGUUGAGCAUUGCUGGACAUUUACCAUCUCUGAUUCCUUCCAACUAAAUGUCAGUAGCACACCUCAGGCAUUGUGACACCAUAAAGCAACCCUUUUCCCUUCCCACCCCCAGAGGUGUGCUACUGGUUGAGAACCACUAGCUUAGAACCUCAGGAUUUACUUUGGGGCUGAAUUAUGUGUGUGUAGGUUUCUUUUCCAGUUGGUUUGGAGGGAAGAGAGGAAUUGGACAGUAUUAAAGUUCUGUUGUCAAGGAAGUGAGGUGGGGAAUGUUGGGUAGCUAACCAACAUUGGCUGCCAUGUGAAGUAAAAAGUUUUCCUUUAUACCCUUGAUAAAAUAGUGUCUCGACUUCUUCACACUUGAAGCCUCCUGGAAACCCCAGCUUUUUUGAUUCUCAUUGUAAGCCCCUUGAACUGGACUAAUUGGGAGUUCUUAUUUUCCACUGUAAGUAACAAGCUCUUGUCCCAAUAGGAUACUCCUGCUUUGAGUACUGCAAUAACUUUCCGAUUGGUGACUUGCUGUCAGUCUUUUCUUAUUUCAUUCCCACACGAAGGGACUAGACCUGUGUUCUGAUUUCCUUUGCUCAGACACCAAUCUCCAGGGGUGCUCUGUAAUUUAAAGAGGACAACUCAGAAAGCUCAGUUUGCACUCAAGGGCCUCUGUAAGUCCCUUCCCUGCCUUCCCGUUCUCCAGCAAACAAUCCCUUGGAUACCCUCUAUUAAAUGAUACAUUUCCCCUUACAAUACCUAGUCCCUUGCCCCAUAUAUGCUAUGUGCAUUCCCCACUCUAGGACUUGACUCGUGCUGUUUCCUCACUGAGCAUGCCCUUCUUAUUUCCAACGAUACAAAUUCCAUUGCCUUUCCAUUCUUUUAAUUCUACCUCCACCUGAGGCCUCUAUCAGCCCACAUUAACCUAUCUUCCUUGAAUUUCUAUGUGUUCCUUGUCUGUACCACCCAUUUUGGCCUUUCAUUUUAUGCUCUUCUUGACUAUUCUGUUAUUGAAACUGUGCUUUAGAUCCCUCUACUUUUCUCUGUGGAUGCUUUUUUUUUUUUUUUUUUGGGACUUCUUUCUACCCUCCUUUUCCUCUUACAUCCUACCUUGCCUAGAGGAUAUCUUGAAGAAUCCGUCAUCUACAUUCUUUUCUCCUAUUGUUAGCUUUUUCCCCCUGACACUUCAUCUAUUUACUGAUUUACUUGUAAUCUCUUCUCUGGAAGAUAUUAGUACUAGCCAUAAAAUAUUUCUAUUUCUUUUUCCACACACAUAGUAAUUUGGAUUUCCCUACUCCUUUUACCUCAAGAGUGGCCAAUGAAAUGUGAUUGGAAGUGACUUGUGUCAUUUCCAAAUAAAAGCUUUAAGAGCCUGUGAACAUUUAUCCUGCUCUCUUUCUGCCGACAGUGAUGAAAUAUUUUAAUUAUCUAUUGUUCCAUGACAAAGCACCUUAAAUCUUAAUGGUUUAAAGCAGUCACCAUUUUAUUAUCUGUAACGGUUUUGUGGGUUGACUAGGCUCAUGGGCAGUUGUCUAAUCUUACUUAGGGUCUCUCGUGGUUCCAGCCUGGUAUUGUCUGGGGCUGGAGUUUUUGGAGGCUCAAGUGGGUUGAUAGAGUAGCUGAGCUCUACCCAUGCGGUUCCAAAGACUCUGAUUCGCAUGGCUUCUUCAGCAGAGUAGCCUGACUUCAUGCAUGGUGGCUUAGGAUUCUCAAAUGCAAAAAAGCAAAAACUUCCAGGUUUUGUAAGUCUUAGGUCUGGAAAUGACAUAUUGUAUUGGUAAAAGCAGUCACAGGGCCAGCUCAAUUUUAAGGGGAGAGGAAAUAAACACUUGAUUGGGAUGGAGGGAGAGUGUCAAAGAAUUUGUGGCCAUCUUUAUUUAUUACAAACAUUUUUGUCAACCACAGAAUUCCAAGAAAAUGUGGCCAUCUUUAAUCACUACUCCAGCAGGGUCUCGGAGACAGGACAAAGUGGAAAAUGGCUCCCUGCUAACCCAUACAUAGGUAUAUGAAUAAGAAAUACAUCUCUGCUGUCCUGAGUCACUUAGCUCUUUGGAGUUGUUUGGUAUCAACUUUUGCACACUAAUAGAAAAAUUGGUACUGGAAAUAGGGUGGGGCUAUAACAAAAAUCUAAAAUAUGAGUCACUGACAUAUAUAAUAAUUGUGUUAGAAAUAUUAGUGGUUGGUUGGUAGGCAGCAUCCAGCUUUGACUCACUUAUGCAUUUCCCAGUGAACCUAGCUCAGAAGUUUGCACCAUGAUAUUCAAUAAAUAAUUCUUAAAUAUGAGAGAUUGUUUCUUGUAAUUUUUCCCUAUUUUAGGGAAAAAUAUUUUUUUUCCCCAUUUCAAUGUUUCUUGAAACAUGGAGUGCCAUGAACAUAUUAUUUGAUGCUCUGUUCCAGGGCCACCAGUGAGUUUACUGACAUGUAAGUUUGGCUCCUGGACAGCUCACCUUCUUCCUCUCCGCUUUUUCUUGGGAGCCAUCCUGAUCAUGGAAAGUGUGCUUUCUCCUCUGCUACCUCACACAAGUUUUAAAAGAGCUUGUUCCUGCCAAGGGAGGCUUGGGGUAAGCCGAACAGUGUCAGCUCCCUGGGGGAAGGGAAAUUUCAGGUUUGGAGCUAAGUUCACUUCCAGGGAGUGACAAAGCCUGUUUGAACUUUAAUUCACAGAGUGAAAGAGUUCAGUGUUGGCCAUUCAUGACUUUGGACUUUAACAUGAAGUUGGUAGUGAUUACUUUGGGCUAUAAUUUAGAGUGAUUUAAUCUCUGAACUUUUAAUUUCUCUCUGGAAAAUUAAUACUGAGAGAGGGUCAAAAUCAAAUUGAGAACAUCUUGGUUCUUAGUUAUUAAAGUAUUUGAUCACAUUUUAGAAAUUUUGAUAAUGUUAGACAAGCUGACAGGACAUAGUUUGAGAUGGCAAUAGAACAUAUUGUGAAUUACAGCCUUGGGGACAGAAUAGCAUUGGAACUGAUGUAAUCGAUAUAUUGUUCUGACCCAUUCAGGGCAUUUUGGGGACAGACUCUACAGUUUACUAGUGGCCCCAGGAAGUCCUACAAAACAGGUGAAAUCAGUAUUGGAGAAGUGGUCUCACGAAGAUGGGAGCAGGAUUACUCCAAUUGACUGCUGACUUCUCACCCUAGGAAAUAACCAUAUCCCAACCUGAUCUCAGUGGAUAAGCCCACAGGGUUAAGGAGUAAUCAUCAUGCUCCAUUUCGUUUUUGAGCCAUCUUCAGCCUAUGAGUCCUUAAGCUUUUUGGAGACAGUUUGUGGAGAAGGUCCUCACAACAUUGUGCAACAGGUGUGAAAGAUGAAGUCUCCAUUUACAGCUGCUGAAAUAGGUUGAGAGAGGGUUUCCUAGACUUUCCAUCACCACCAGUGAAUUCCGAGUGACAGUAGUGUGGAAUUUGGAAGAAUGGAAGAGAAACUGAAGUAGAGAGAUGGUGAAAGAGAAGAAAAAAUGAAGAAAGAUGCUUGCAAAAAUACUGCCAUGGGUCCUGAGAUGAAGAUUCUGGGAGGGUAGGUGUGGCAAUAUCUCCCAUUCUGUGCUUACCUGGGCCUCAGCUGGUACCAGCAGGCAGGCAUGGGCAGUCAGUUAAGGAGUGUGGCUGGUGACUGGUGUGUCAUGCAUCGCACUGGUUUCCUGCUCCUCAGGCUGAAAUGGAUGCCCCUGACAGCUCCCUUUGAGUUCCUGUUCAUCUGAAGUACACCAUCCUUCUAGAUCUGCUGUCACUUUCCUUCUGCAGAGCCACAGUGGGCUCCUGUCUUCUCAGACCUCUUCUCACCUCAAAUCACUUAGGACACGGCCACCAGACAGGUUUGGGAUUUCAGAACUUUGCAGAUGUUAGAAAGGUAAAAUGGUAUAUAUUGCAUAUGUAGUAUUUCUAGUAGAGUCUGGGUCAGCACCUCAUAAGCAAAUACAUUAAUAUUUUGAUUGCAACAUAUAUGAAUCAUCAUCCUCAGGUCAGUAGUGGCUAUGCAGAACCUCAUGUCAGAAAGGUCAGAUUUUGGCCACCUAUGGAGUUUUUAUGUCAAAUAUGUGAAAAACUUUUGGUUGCAGGGCUUUUGGGAUUUUGGAACUGAGGAUAGGUAUCAUGGACCAUAUCAUUACCAGUUCCUUCCUCUUUCAUCAAGGUCAUGUGCAUGAAGAUGCUGACAAAGCUGUUCCUACACUUCCUGUGCUGGCUGGGAAGGGAUCUGAUUCGGGCUGAGCCUUAAGAAUCACAGUUCCAAGCUUUCUUCUCAUUCCAGAUUUUAGUCGGGAAAGUAGGCAUUCUGGAAGUAGAGUCCAUAUCUACACUUUAUACAUUCCCUGUAGGUUUGAUGAGCAAAAAGUAAUAAAGGAAACACAAA